rnacentral:ncRNA from 1 species
AAUUCAGGAAGGUCAGCAGAAAUAUAAUGUACGUGGAGGUCAAUACCACCAGCAGUCACAAUCAAACCUUCUGCAGCAAUGGCUUCUGUACUAGCACCCACAACAAAGUCCACAUUGUCCAUUGUAUCUGGGUUACCACCGCGACCAAUAGCAACAAUCUUACCAUCACGAAUACCGAUAUCUGCUUUAAUA